rnacentral:rRNA from 1 species
UACGGAGGGUGCGAGCGUUAAUCGGAAUUACUGGGCGUAAAGGGUGCGUAGGUGGUUAAUUAAGUUAUCUGUGAAAUCCCUGGGCUCAACCUGGGCAGGUCAGAUAAAACUGUUUAACUCGAGUAUGGGAGAGGGUAGUGGAAUUUCCGGUGUAGCGGUGAAAUGCGUAGAGAUCGGAAGGAACACCAGUGGCGAAGGCGGCUACCUGGCCCAAUACUGACACUGAGGCACGAAAGCGUGGGGAGCAAACAGG